GACGAACGCUGGCGGCGUGCUUAACACAUGCAAGUCGAACGGAAAGGCCCUGCUUUUGUGGGGUGCUCGAGUGGCGAACGGGUGAGUAACACGUGAGUAACCUGCCCUUGACUUUGGGAUAACUUCAGGAAACUGGGGCUAAUACCGGAUAGGAGCUCCUGCUGCAUGGUGGGGGUUGGAAAGUUUCGGCGGUUGGGGAUGGACUCGCGGCUUAUCAGCUUGUUGGUGGGGUAGUGGCUUACCAAGGCUUUGACGGGUAGCCGGCCUGAGAGGGUGACCGGCCACAUUGGGGCUGAGAUACGGCCCAGACGCCUACGGGAGGCAGCAGUGGGGAAUAUUGCACAAUGGGCGGAAGCCUGAUGCAGCAACGCCGCGUGCGGGAUGACGGCCUUCGGGUUGUAAACCGCUUUCGCCUGUGACGAAGCGUGAGUGACGGUAAUGAGUAAAGAAGCACCGGCUAACUACGUG
rnacentral:rRNA from 1 species